rnacentral:rRNA from 1 species
GACGAACGCUGGCGGCGUGCUUAACACAUGCAAGUCGAACGGAAAGGCCCUGCUUUUGUGGGGUGCUCGAGUGGCGAACGGGUGAGUAACACGUGAGUAACCUGCCCUUGACUUUGGGAUAACUUCAGGAAACUGGGGCUAAUACCGGAUAGGAGCUCCUGCUGCAUGGUGGGGGUUGGAAAGUUUCGGCGGUUGGGGAUGGACUCGCGGCUUAUCAGCUUGUUGGUGGGGUAGUGGCUUACCAAGGCUUUGACGGGUAGCCGGCCUGAGAGGGUGACCGGCCACACUGGGACUGAGAUACGGCCCAGACUCCUACGGGAGGCAGCAGUGGGGAAUAUUGCACAAUGGGCGGAAGCCUGAUGAAGCAACGCCGCGUGCGGGAUGACGGCCUUCGGGUUGUAAACCGCUUUCGCCUGUGACGAAGCGUGAGUGACGGUAAUGGGUAAAGAAGCACCGGCUAACUACGUG